rnacentral:rRNA from 1 species
CCUACGGGAGGCAGCAGUGGGGAAUAUUGGACAAUGGGCGAAAGCCUGAUCCAGCAAUGCCGCGUGAGUGAUGAAGGCCUUAGGGUCGUAAAGCUCUUUUACCCGGGAUGAUAAUGACAGUACCGGGAGAAUAAGCCCCGGCUAACUCCGUGCCAGCAGCCGCGGUAAUACGGAGGGGGCUAGCGUUGUUCGGAAUUACUGGGCGUAAAGCGUGCGUAGGCGGUUAUUCAAGUCAGAGGUGAAAGCCCGGGGCUCAACCCCGGAACGGCCUUUGAAACUAGGUAGCUAGAAUCUUGGAGAGGUCAGUGGAAUUCCGAGUGUAGAGGUGAAAUUCGUAGAUAUUCGGAAGAACACCAGUGGCGAAGGCGACUGACUGGACAAGUAUUGACGCUGAGGCACGAAAGCGUGGGGAGCAAACAGGAUUAGAUACCCUGGUAGUCCACGCCGUAAACGAUGAUAACUAGCUGUUCGGGUACUUGGUAUCUGAGUGGCGCAGCUAACGCAUUAAGUUAUCCGCCUGGGGAGUACGGUCGCAAGNUUAAAACUUAAAUGAAUUGACGG